CCUACGGGAGGCAGCAGUGAGGAAUAUUGGUCAAUGGCCGAAAGGCUGAACCAGCCAAGCCGCGUGAGGGAAGACGGCCCUACGGGUUGUAAACCCCUUUUGCCGGGGAGCAAGGCGAACCACGUGUGGUUCAUUGAGAGUACCCGAAGAAAAAGCAUCGGCAAACUCCGUGCCAGCAGCCGCGGUAAGACGGAGGAGGCGACCGUUAUCCGGAUUUAUUGGGGUUAAAGGGUGCGCAGGCGGAGGUGCAAGUCAGCGGUAAAAUGGCGGGGCUGAACCCCGUACUGCCGUUGAAACUGCAUCCCUUGAGUGCGCGAGAAGUAUGCGGAAUGCGUGGUGUAGCGGUGAAAUGCAUAGAUAUCACGCAGAACUCCGAUUGCGAAGGCAGCAAACCGGCGCGCAACUGACGCUCAUGCACGAAAGCGUGGGUAUCGAACAGGAUUAGAUACCCUUGUAGUC
rnacentral:rRNA from 1 species